rnacentral:rRNA from 1 species
UACAGGGGGGGCAAGCGUUGUUCGGAAUUACUGGGCGUAAAGGGCUCGUAGGCGGCCAACUAAGUCCGACGUGAAAUCCCCAGGCUUAACCUGGGAACUGCGUCGGAUACUGGAUGGCUUGAAUUCGGGAGAGGGAUGCAGAAUUCCAGGUGUAGCGGUGAAAUGCGUAGAUAUCUGGAGGAAUACCGGUGGCGAAGGCGACUUUCUGGACAGAUACUGACACUGAGGCACGAAAGCGUGGGGAGCAAACAGG